UUUAACGGCCGCGGUAUCUUAACCGUGCGAAGGUAGCGCAAUCACUUGUUUCUUAAAUGGAGACCUGUAUGAAUGGCAUUACGAGGGCCGAACUGUCUCCUUCCCCUAGUCAAUGAAAUUGAUCUCCCCGUGCAGAAGCGGGGAUAAAAACAUAAGACGAGAAGACCCUUUGGAGCUUGAGACUAUAGACAGACCAUGCUCGUAAGACCAAAUAAAAGGUUAUAAGCCAAUUGGACAACACUGCUCUAAUGUCUUUGGUUGGGGCGACCGAGGGGAAACAAAAAACCCCCAUGUGGAGCAGGAGAACUUUUCUCCCACAACCCAGAUCAACAGAUCUAAGUACCAGAAAUUCUGACCAGAGAGAUCCGGCAAAGCCGAUCAACGGACCCAGUUACCCUAGGGAUAACAGCGCAAUCCCCUUUUAGAGCCCAUAUCGACAAGGGGGUUUACGACCUCGAUGUUGGAUCAGGACAUCCUAAUGGUGCAGCCGCUAUUAAGGGUUCGUUUGUUCAACGAUUAA
rnacentral:rRNA from 1 species